UUGCAAUAAGUAAAUAUAUUGCUCAUCUAUUUUAGCAAUAUACCAAAUGCUGUUUUGCAAUAUUUGGAUCAAUCUUCGAAAUCAAAUUAAAACAACCUGGAAGGCAAGUACUAUUUUGAGUGAUUAAUCCAAAAUACAGAAAGCUGAAACAUUCAGGAUUUAACUCACACUCAGCAGAAUCACAUAAUGAUGAAAAUUGGCACCAAAUAAGUCCACCUCCCUAACAUACACCAAAUUAUGUUUGCUAUACCAAAGACCAUGUCAGUUCAUCAGUCCACAGUCUAACACCAAUAACAACAUGAGUCUUCUUUCACAAUGAGAAAUAAAAAACAAAGUUAUUGACUUGCAGACUAUCACCAACUAAGUUCCUAAUGAACAAAAAAAUUGAACGAAAAAUUUAUGCAAAUAUUCACUUUGUUUCCCCAUUUAUCACUCAUCGAAUUUAAUGUAAUGAAAGGAUACUAAUUUUUAAAAAAAUAGCUGCAUGAUUAGGGAUAUGGUCACUCCUUGGUUCUAUCUUACAAGGUCACCGGUGCCUAAUUUGGUAUAUGUGUUAAUUUUCAACCUAAUGACCACCAGGUCUUCAGAAGCAACAUGUAUAUUUGAAGUGUAUAUCAAUCGUGUAAAUUUAUAUCAACAUGCACCUACAUACACUGCAAUAAUUAGCUACCUAUUCGUACACAAAAACAAGGAAUGGUAUAUUCCCUAUUUCUCCCUUUGUGAAAACAACAGGUGGCUAGAAAAGUGGCAAUAUCGACAAACCAUGGGGAAAGACAGAAUGAGCUAAGUAAGGCAAGGGAAGAGAGAGAGACAAAGAAAGAUGUUUUAAGUUACUUUAGCAAGGGGGAAAUGAGGGCACGCAUGGAACAAGUCCCAUGUCUUCCGCUUCUACUAUAAUAAUCAAUCUCCACAACAUUCCAGGUGCACUGGAGAAAGUAAGACUACUACCAAUAGGGGGAGAGAAAAAAAGACAAAGCGAAACUACAAGUUAUUAUAAAAGAAGCAGAGAUAUUAUGACAGACGCCUUCUCUUAUGAAAGUGCUACAGCAGUUCGUAGACAAAUAUUGACAACCUGAGCUGGUGUUUCCCAACUAAGUAGCCCCUAUUUGAAUGGCAAUGACAGCACAUUCUGUAAAAUGCACACAAGAAAGGAUCAAGUACAAAGGAAGACACAUACGGAAUAUAGAUAUUCAACAGCUCUCUCAGGGUUGUUGUAAGCAGCCCUAAGAGCACGAACAACAGUUUCCCUGUCCCAAGUUCCUCCACCCAUGUCAAUAAUUUGUUGGACUGUUCCGUUAAGGUUACCACCGGCAACCAGGUUGGAUGCUGC